GCUGGGGGUCGGCAGUGCGGGCGGGGGCGAACGCGAUAGCGGAGGGGAACGGGGCUCUCCGCGCGGUGUAUGCGUCCUGCCGCGGUCUGCUUUUCUCGGGCUCGAGUUAAGUCGCUCUAAAUGAAAUAAAGGAAACAGAAUGUGAAAGCUGUCAGAAUCAAAAUGAAGUCAAUUGUGUCAACAAAAAACACCAUGUUGAGCCAAGAAGAAGCUGUGGGUAUCAGCUGUGAGUAUCAGAACAAAGUGUGCUUGCUCUCGAAAACUAGGCUGCACCCCAUUUCACAGGGGUCUAGCUGGUCUGGAGUGUGGGAAAUUCUGGAUGACUCAGUGUUUUCAAAUGUUGCUCCUUCUCAGAGAACACUGAAUUACGUCCUCUGAGCACCCACGAUUGAAUUGGUGGCUUCAUUAAUGUACCUUCAGGAUGAAGCUAAUACAGGGAAGAUAAUGAAGGAAAUGGAAAGAAGCACUUUGGUGACACUAUUGGGGCCUCUGGAUCAACACUUGCUUGAUGUCUGAGCUUCAUUUUCAUGAGCCAAUGUAUUACUUUCAUUCUGUAAGACCAGUCAGGGUUUGGUCCCUUGUGGUAAAAAGUAACCAAAUGAAAACAUUUCCUAUUUGAGAUAAGUUGAACAUCUGACUUCAGUUUUAUCACCUCUAAUGAAAACCAAAGUUCUAUGCUACACUUUCUCUGCUGUAAGAAAACCAAGCCUAUAGAAGUCCAGAUUUACAAGAGUAAAUCUUGCAUGUAAAAAUUUCUUUGCAUUUUAAAAGGAGUUCAACAAUUAUAGGAGGUUCACUAUGAGCCAGUUUCACUAUUCAGUCAGUUUUGCAGUAAAUUAAAAUGUGAUUAACUUGAUAUAUUUUUUAGGAACAUAUCAGUUGAGUUAAGUGGAAGCAUUACUGUUCUGGACAUCUGGGGUACUUAAUGUCAUCUCUGUAUGAAACAUCUGAGGAUCUACUAGUAAGCAACCUUUUGUGUCAAAUAUUUAAUAUUCCUUCAGGAGUUAGUUUGAAGCUUGCAAAGACUCUGAGAUUGUAGUUAGAAAUACCUUGUCAAGCAAAUGAGAGAAAAUGAUCAGGCAGCACAUACACUGUUUCUGAGGAACAUAGUCUGUGGUGAUUUCAUGGGGAGCUGUAGCAGGUGCAUGAUAAUCUUGUGGUUCAUCAUGUACUAUGAAGGAACAGUGACCUUCUCCCUUGAACUUUAGGAUUUCUAGGUAGGAUAGCCAUAUGUUCUUAUUUUCCCAGGAUAGUUCCAGUUUAUGUUGUUGUAAUAACACUCUCGGCCAGUUCCUGCUUAUAAGCUGCAUCAUUGUGGCACACAGCACAUAAUGGCACACAGAUCAAAUUAAAAUUGAGGAACAAAAUAGUAGAAAAAGGAUGGAUUAGACUAGCAUCUGGAAAACCAGGAGAGAGACUUUAGUGAUAAUUAUGGAGGGAGAACUUUUUGCUACCAAGUAUCUCAUAAACAAAAAUGGGAUUUAUUGUUUGGUAGUGUUAAAGGGGAUAUGAUGAAUGCUUUUGUAAAAGUUUAAGAUUAAAACAAAGACUAAAAUAAGUCAAAUAGACUCAGCGACAAUAAGCCAAUGACCAUUGCCAUUACAGAUCAAUAAGACAGGUUUCAGCUUCUUGGAAGCAGAGUAAUCAAUCCAGUUUCUGCAUUAUACCUCUCUUUUCCUUCAGAGUCCAAACUCAGUUCUCAGUAGCCUCUGUAGCAGCCACUACCAAUUGUGGAAAGCUGGCACAUGAAACAAUACACAUGUUGCUCCUUGCCACUUCUUUUUAUCUGCUCCCAAGAUGCCACCGUGGGGAGGAGCACAGCUGUGGGUUUUGCAAUGUUUUACCCUCAGUUGGAGAGUUUGGGGAAGAGAGGAAGACAAAAGGCUUCAUUCAUUGUUUUCAAUAAAUGUUCAAGUUUUAAUAUAAGAAAAAAAGAGAGGUUCAAUUCUUAAGUGUCAACGGAAAAGUAACAUCUGAUUUUAUGGUGGGGAGAGCAUGAGAAACAAGGCUCCCUAGAGAACAGCCUCCUCCAAGUCACCUUAAGAAAGAAAAACUGUAGUGCCCAGCUUCUUCCACAGAGGGGCACUCCAAGUCCAGCACUGAACACUCCACGGUAUUGUUUUCAGUGACUGGUUGCGGACAGAACAAGAGCUUCCAGUCUUUUCCCGGUUCCUACUAGGGAUUUUGAAAUGGAUAGAAUUAAAAGUACAUUUGUAGAACUCUAGAGGAAUGAGGCAAAGCCAUUUUGAUGUCAAUCCCUAAUUAUUUCACAUUUACAAAUAUAACAGAAAUAUGUUAAAUUUGAAAAGAAAUUUCAUCUAGAUCUGUUUGGGUCUGCAUCAUACGAAAGAUUGAAUAAUUUGGAGAUUAUGAUAAAGUUCUCAUUUAAAGCUAAAAUACGGUUUAUCAGAAAAUUAUUGUAAGCUCGUCUCAAACACUCGUGAUUUCAUUUGAAUAUGAAAUUCAAAUUACAUCUUGGAUAAACAACUUUAAAUAAAAAUGUCUCCGCACAGUUUUAGUGUCUUCAUCCCUGUGUCUGGGACGAAAAUCAUACAACAUAUCUGAGGACCCUAUAACAUUCCCAUAACCAGCAGUGACGAAAGUGGGGACAGCAAUACACGCACCAUGAUGGAAAAAUAUAUGGUCUUUAUAUUUGUGGUGUACGUUUCCUAAUGAAACCAUCGAAGGGGCAACCCUUAUCUUACCUAUUCAAUUUAAAAAACCUUUGAAGACCAAAGGG
rnacentral:lncRNA from 1 species